rnacentral:rRNA from 1 species
CGGACGGGUGAGUAACGCGUGAGAAUCUGCCUUCAGGUCGGGGACAACCAUUGGAAACGGUGGCUAAUACCGGAUAUACCUAACAGUGAAAGAUUUAUUGCCUGAAGAGGAGCUCGCGUCUGAUUAGCUAGUUGGUGGGGUAAGAGCCUACCAAGGCGACGAUCAGUAGCUGGUCUGAGAGGACGAUCAGCCACACUGGAACUGAGACACGGUCCAGACUCCUACGGGAGGCAGCAGUGGGGAAUUUUCCGCAAUGGGCGAAAGCCUGACGGAGCAAUACCGCGUGAGGGAGGAAGGCUCUUGGGUUGUAAACCUCUUUUCUCAGGGAAGAAUACAUGACGGUACCUGAGGAAUCAGCAUCGGCUAACUCCGUGCCAGCAGCCGCGGUAAUACGGAGGAUGCAAGCGUUAUCCGGAAUGAUUGGGCGUAAAGCGUCCGCAGGUGGCAGUGUAAGUCUGCUGUCAAAGAGUCUGGCUCAACCAGAUAAAGGCAGUGGAAACUACACAGCUAGAGUACGGUAGGGGCAGAGGGAAUUCCUGGUGUAGCGGUGAAAUGCGUAGAGAUCAGGAAGAACACCGGUGGCGAAAGCGCUCUGCUAGGCCGUAACUGACACUGAGGGACGAAAGCUAGGGGAGCGAAUGGGAUUAGAUACCCCAGUAGUCCUAGCCGUAAACGAUGGAUACUAGGUGUUGCUUGUAUCGACCCGAGCAGUACCGUAGCUAACGCGUUAAGUAUCCCGCCUGGGGAGUACGCAGGCAACUGUGAAACUCAAAGGAAUUGACGGGGGCCCGCACAAGCGGUGGAGUAUGUGGUUUAAUUCGAUGCAACGCGAAGAACCUUACCAGGGCUUGACAUGUCGCGAAUCAGAGGGAAACUUCUGAGUGCCUUCGGGAGCGCGAACACAGGUGGUGCAUGGCUGUCGUCAGCUCGUGUCGUGAGAUGUUGGGUUAAGUCCCGCAACGAGCGCAACCCUCGUUUUUAGUUGCCAUCAUUAAGUUGGGCACUCUAGAGAGACUGCCGGUGACAAACCGGAGGAAGGUGGGGAUGACGUCAAGUCAGCAUGCCCCUUACGUCCUGGGCUACACACGUACUACAAUGCUCCGGACAGAGGGCAGCGAGCAUGCAAAUGCAAGCAAAUCCCGAAAACCGGAGCUCAGUUCAGAUCGCAGGCUGCAACUCGCCUGCGUGAAGUUGGAAUCGCUAGUAAUUGCAGGUCAGCAUACUGCGGUGAAUUCGUUCCCGGGCCUUGUACACACCGCCCGUCACACCAUGGAAGCUGGUAGUGCCCGAAGUCAUUACCCCAACCUGAGGGAGGGGGAUGCCUAAGGCAGGACUGGUGACUGGGGUGAAGUCGUAACAAGGUAGCG